rnacentral:rRNA from 1 species
GACGAACGCUGGCGGCGCGCUUAACACAUGCAAGUCGAGCGAUAAAACAUUAACAGAACGCUUCGGGGCGUAGCUAAAGUGGAUCAGCGGCGGACGGGAGAGUAACAUGUGUGUAACCUGCCUUAAACAUAGGGAUAGCUACGGGAAACCGGGAUUAAUCCCACGUAAAAUAAUAAUGAAACAUGUCAUAACGAUCAAAACUCCGGUGGGCUAGGGUGGAAGCGCGUCCCAUUAGCUAGUUGGUAGAGUAAAAGCCUACCAAGGCGACGAUGGGUAGCCGGGCUGAGAGGGUGAACGGCCACAUUGGAACUGAGAAACGGUCGAGACUACUACGGGAGGCAGCAGUGGGUAAUAUUGCACAAUGGAGUGAGCGCAGAUGCAGCGAGGCCUCGUGAGCCCAUAAGUCGUGCGAGACAUAAAGUUCGUUUAUAUGGGAAUAUUAUGACGGUACCAAAAGAAAAAGCACCGGCUAACUUCGUG